AAUAAGUUUGUUGCAAAGGAGAUUCAAAGUGGAUGGUUAAAGUGAUAUGGUCUCAUAAUUCAUCAACUGCCUGUUAUCUUGGAAUACUGAAGAACAGUUGUUUUAGGUUUGUAUUUUCAUUUUUACAUCACUUUUUUAUUUAGUUUUAUAUUGAAUUAAUUAUGAUCAUUAUCAUAUUUAUGUAUUGUCACUGGGAAAUGUAAAUGGAUAAGUAUAAAUGUAAUGCAAUUAUAAGGAAAAACAACACCAUUUGAAUAAUUAUGGCAGUAUUUUAUGAUUAUUGUCAUCUUAAAUGUUAUUUAUACCUAUUUCUGGUCAUUAAUGAACAGAUUUCUUUCCCACAUAUUCAAUGAAAACUUUUAUAUUUUAAAUUUGAAGGUUAGACUCCCAAGGUGAAAUUUACAUUGAUUGGAAGAUUCUUUGGAUAGAAUAUUCCUGCCAAAAGACAGCAGAAGGGGGACUAACUGAUGUAUGGAUUUUGACACCAGAUUUUACCCUGCACGAGCAGCCCAACUUGAGUAGAUCAGGAGUGGGAAAACCGAGCCCUGUCCUUGACCAAGGAAAGUUGGAUUUGUUGAGAGGACCUGAUCUCAAAUGAGAUCAUGCACAAGACGCACCUCGCAAAGGCCAUGACAGUAUAGUUUUCAGACCUGAUCAGCUGGUGACUGCUCUAUGAAGUGCUGUUGAACCUCCCCUAAGGGGGAGAUUCGAGAGGGUCUCCUGAUUGCUGAACACUACGCCAUGUUGUCAUCUCCAAAAAGUUUGCCCUGCCCAUAUCAACAGUGGAAGAGAACAUGAGAUGGGCCUUGAGGAGGCUUCGUGUCAUGUACUGCGGGGAGAAUAUAUAAACUGUUUAGUGCUGAGCAAUAUGUUCCUUUGUUCAUAGGUGUAAAUAUGUGUAAAGGGCUAUUCCAGGAAAAGAUAGGAUGAAGGAUUCCUUAAUGUUGUCAUUUUAUAAAUCCGGUACCACCAACACAGU